CAGAGGGUGAGAAUCCCGUGCGAUGAGAUGAUCCAGGCCUAUGUAAAAGUUCCUUCGAAGAGUCGAGUUGUUUGGGAAUGCAGCUCUAAGUGGGUGGUAAAUUCCAUCUAAAGCUAAAUAUUGGCGAGAGACCGAUAGCGAACAAGUACAGUGAUGGAAAGAUGAAAAGAACUUUGAAAAGAGAGUGAAAAAGUACGUGAAAUUGUUGAAAGGGAAGGGCUUGAGAUCAGACUUGGUAUUUUGUAUGUUACUUUUUCGGGGGUGGCCUCUACAGUUUAUCGGGCCAGCAUCAGUUUGGGCGGUAGGAGAAUUGCGUUGGAAUGUGGCACGGCUUCGGUUGUGUGUUAUAGCCUUCGUCGAUACUGCCAGCCUAGACUGAGGACUGCGGUUUAUACCUAGGAUGUUGGCAUAAUGAUCUUAAGUCGC
rnacentral:rRNA from 1 species